GAUGAAGAACGUAGCGAAAUGCGAUAGGUAAUGUGAAUUGCAGAAUUCAGUGAAUCAUCGAAUCUUUGAACGCACAUUGCGCCCUUUGGUAUUCCUUAGGGCAUGCCUGUUCGAGCGUCACUACACACCUUAUCACAAUAUUUGUGGUCUUGGCAGGAGUGAAUUGCUGGUCUAUGGAAGUAUUCCAGCAGUACACAAUGCUAAAAAAUAUGGGAAGGUUACCAGAUAUGAACAACAGACUUUGUAAAUGGUUGUAGGACCUAGAUCAGUCACAAGUCAUGUCUGGUCCCUUACCUUAAGGACCCCCAUACUAGAUGAACUAUAGGUUGACCUCGGAUCAGGUAGGAAUACCCGCUGAACUUAAGCAUAUCAUAAGCGGAGGA
rnacentral:misc_RNA from 1 species